rnacentral:rRNA from 1 species
GUGGGGAAUCUUCCGCAAUGGACGAAAGUCUGACGGAGCAACGCCGCGUGAGUGAAGAAGGUUUUCGGAUCGUAAAGCUCUGUUGUUUGAGACGAAUGUGCAGACUUUGAAUAAGGGUUUGUAAUGACGGUAUUAAACGAGAAAGCCACGGCUAACUACGUGCCAGCAGCCGCGGUAAUACGUAGGUGGCAAGCGUUGUCCGGAAUUAUUGGGCGUAAAGGGAGCGCAGGCGGGAAGGUAAGUCGGUCUUAAAAGUGCGGGGCUCAACCCCGUGAUGGGAUCGAAACUAUCUUUCUUGAGUGCAGGAGAGGAAAGUGGAAUUCCUAGUGUAGCGGUGAAAUGCGUAGAUAUUAGGAGGAACACCAGUGGCGAAGGCGACUUUCUGGACUGUAACUGACGCUGAGGCUCGAAAGCCAGGGGAGCGAACGGGAUUAGAAACCCUGUAGUCC